rnacentral:sRNA from 1 species
UCCGUAGGUGAACCUGCGGAAGGAUCAUUAAAGAUUGACCGAAAGGUCUUAUCUCUAUAUCCCUCACCUCUGUGAACUGUGGACCUCCGGGUCUGUCUUAACAAACAUCAGUGUAAUGAACGUAUAUAUCAUUAAACAAAACAAAACUUUCAACAACGGAUCUCUUGGCUCUCGCAUCGAUGAAGAACGCAGCGAAAUGCGAUAAGUAAUGUGAAUUGCAGAAUUCAGUGAAUCAUCGAAUCUUUGAACGCACCUUGCGCCUUUUGGUAUUCCGAAAGGCAUGCCUGUUUGAGUGUCAUGAAAUCUCAAUCCCCCCGGGUUUAUGAUCUGGGUCGGACUUGGACAUGGGCGUCUGCCGGUCACACGGCUCGCCUCAAAUGACUUAGUGGAUCUCUCUGCAUCCGUGACAGACGUAAUAAGUUUCGUCUUGUCCCUUGCUAAUGAGUCUGCUCAUAACCUGCCAUCGCGCACUUUUAGACUCUGACCUCAAAUCAGGUAGGACUACCCGCUGAACUUAAGCAUAUCAAUAAGCGGAGGA